rnacentral:lncRNA from 1 species
GCACCUAAAAAUAGUUUUUAGGUACCCAAACACUUUUGGGUCCUUGGGGGUUAGGCAAAUAAUAAUCAUAGCCAAAAGACAAAUCCCUAUGUUUUGCGAAACAUACGGGUGCUAUGUGUCCUACGCGGUUGCAAUAAUGACAUACUACGUUCGGGUUGUGCAUAUGUCUCGGUUGAGCCAAAAACGGUCUAGGUGAUCUAAAGUCAUUUUUCCUAGAAGUGUUGAAAUUCCUAGAGUCAUUUCUAGGUGGNN